UAGCUAGUUGGUGAGGUAACGGCUUACCAAGGCGACGAUCUGUAGCGGGUCUGAGAGGAUGAUCCGCCACACUGGAACUGAGACACGGUCCAGACUCCUACGGGAGGCAGCAGUGGGGAAUUUUGGACAAUGGGGGCAACCCUGAUCCAGCCAUGCCGCGUGAGUGAAGAAGGCCUUCGGGUUGUAAAGCUCUUUCGGCCGGGAAGAAAUCGCAUGGGCCAAUACCCUGUGUGGAUGACGGUACCGGAAUAAGAAGCACCGGCUAACUACGUGCCAGCAGCCGCGGUAAUACGUAGGGUGCGAGCGUUAAUCGGAAUUACUGGGCGUAAAGCGUGCGCAGGCGGUUUUGUAAGACAGGCGUGAAAUCCCCGGGCUCAACCUGGGAACUGCGUUUGUGACUGCAAGGCUAGAGUACGGCAGAGGGGGGUGGAAUUCCACGUGUAGCAGUGAAAUGCGUAGAGAUGUGGAGGAACACCAAUGGCGAAGGCAGCCCCCUGGGUCGAUACUGACGCUCAUGCACGAAAGCGUGGGUAGCAAACAGGAUUAGAUACCCUGGUAGUCCACGCCCUAAACUAUGUCAACUAGGUGUUGGGUGGGUAAAACCAUUUAGUACCGUAGCUAACGCGUGAAGUUGACCGCCUGGGGAGUACGGCCGCAAGGUUAAAACUCAAAGGAAUUGACGGGGACCCGCACAAGCGGUGGAUGAUGUGGAUUAAUUCGAUGCAACGCGAAAAACCUUACCUACCCUUGACAUGCCAGGAACUUGCCAGAGAUGGCUUGGUGCCCGAAAGGGAGCCUGGACACAGGUGCUGCAUGGCUGUCGUCAGCUCGUGUCGUGAGAUGUUGGGUUAAGUCCCGCAACGAGCGCAACCCUUGUCGUUAAUUGCCAUCAUUUAGUUGGGCACUUUAGCGAGACUGCCGGUGACAAACCGGAGGAAGGUGGGGAUGACGUCAAGUCCUCAUGGCCCUUAUGGGUAGGGCUUCACACGUCAUACAAUGGUCGGUACAAAGGGUCGCCAAGCCGCGAGGUGGAGCCAAUCCCAGAAAGCCGAUCGUAGUCCGGAUUGCAGGCUGCAACUCGCCUGCAUGAAGUCGGAAUCGCUAGUAAUCGUGGAUCAGCAUGUCACGGUGAAUACGUUCCCGGGUCUUGUACACACCGCCCGUCACACCAUGGGAGCGGGUUCCGCCAGAAGUAGGUAGCCUAACCGCGAGGAGGGCGCUUACCGCGGCGGGGUUCGUGACUGGGGUGAAGUCGGAACAAGGUAGCCGUAGGGGAACCUGCGGCUG
rnacentral:rRNA from 1 species